AAAACAUCUAGCUGAUGUGCAAACUCACAGUCACGCAUUGAACAAAAAUGUCGGCUUUUACUAUUCUUUUUGCGACUGUUUUGAUAGGAAGCUUGUAUCUUCUGGGAGUUAUCGCUUCAUGUCAACCAAAUCCCUGUCAGAAUGGAGGUAUAUUAUGCCACUAGAAGGCGCUGUCCGUUGUUUUUGUCCAAUCAAAUAUGAGGACCUUUAUUGUGAAACACUUCCAUCACAUAUAGGUAUAACUCCACCAUCUAAAGAUAUCCGUACAGCAACUAUAAAACUGCCCGAUGAUAUCCUUAAAAUGGCA